CAUGAUCAUUUUAAAUGUAAAGAUAGCAGGAUAUAUGAAUGAAUGGAUAAAAUGAUGGCCCUGUUUGCCAUGGGAUUAACUAUUCUGUUGAAUUUUCUGAGGGGCAUUGGCUGCUGUAUAUUACGCCAUAAACUAUAUUGUUCAGAAGCAACAUGAGUGUAUCACAGCAUUUAGAAAUUAUACAUCCUUCGCUUUCCCCACAAAAUGAAUUCAGAAUCGACAUUCAAGUUUAUAAUUUUAAGCUGCUAAUUAUAAAAAUAUAUUAAUACCUUAGGGAUUGAAGAUUACAUGAAAUAAGAACUACAAAAGAAUGCUAAUUAAUAACAUAACUCCAUAUGCUAUCAAACUUCUGAUAGCACUGAGUUUCUUAUAAAGCCUUAAAAUAUUUUAAUGAUAAAUUAAUUACCUGGAAAAGAAGGCACUUUAUUACCUUGAACUAGCUAUUCGUCUGUAUAGAAUAUGUCAAAAAUCCCUUAAAUUAUUCUUUAUCCUUUUAUAAAUUUAUCCUAGUUACAUGUUUUUCUGAAGCCUCUUAUGGUAUAAUGUGUUAAUUCAAAAACUAUUGUAACUUAACAGAAAAAUUGUUACCAAUAUAACCAAUGAACAAUACAGAAAUAAAACUCAAGAAUAACAAAAGUAUAUGUGAUAACAAGACUGUUAGUCUAAGUUAGUCUACAAUCAUUUGAGAUUUUAAAAUGUUGUAAAAUUUGAAGGCUUUUUCAUUGAACAAUUUUUGGACAGUUUUUAUUUUUAAAUCUCACUUUUAAUUGGUACUGCCUUGUCUUGAAAUGUUGAUCAAAUGUAAAGGCAAUCAUAAUUAUUAAGCCAGUCCAUUAUAAUUCAAUUUUGUUUUAGUUGAGAUUUUUUAGUGUAAUUCUAAAACAUUAAAACAUCUGUUUGUUUCUUUUUUGCUCAAGUCAGCCAUGCCUGGUGAACUAUCAAAUUUAAAUCAUCAACAUGGAUGUGCUGCUGUGUAUAGCUGUUUCCUCUUCAGAAAAUUAGUGCUUGAUUUAUACAAGGAAUUUAGUUCAGCAGAAAAAGCAUAGGAUAAUUUUUUCAAAAGGGUUCAACCCUCUCAAGUGAAACCUUAACAUCUUUCUGACAUUCAUAAGGAUAGGCUUUUAUCCAAGAAAUUUUUUCAACAGAAAAUUAUUUCAAAGUGGACAAACUCCACUUUCUUUUUUGCUUGAGGGGCAGUACACUUUUACAAAAACACAUUUUUCUGUAAGUUUACUUAUCUUUAAGUCAUUCUCUGUGGUGGCCAUUUUUCCAUCUCUAAUUUUAAAUGUUUUACUAAAUGUACGUGCAGUUUCAUAGACAGUCUGAUCAUUACAUGAUUACAGAAAGGAGUCAAGUUUAUCAGAGGUCUAUCCUUGUGAAGGGGAGACCAAACACAAAUUCCAUGUCAGUUGUUUGGUUUGGUUCUUUGUUUUCUUUUAAAAACAAGAUAUAUUAACCCAAAGGUGUGUUAAUGUCAUGGCAUGAACAAUCUUCAAUGUAGACCUAUUGAGUAUUUUGUGAUGCUGAGUAACAGACGUUUCUCAACUCUCUGUGAUGCUAAAUAUUUUCCUUAGGAAGUUUUGUUUAAUGUUAGAUUGUUGUUCUGAAAGAUGUUGGUCCUAGUGGGAUUUUUUUAAACUUGGAAAACAAAUAAACGCAUGUAUUACAAAUAUAGAAAUGGUGAAUUGUAAAC
rnacentral:lncRNA from 1 species